GCCGGGCAUGGUGGCGCACGCCUGUAAUCCCAGCUACUCAGGAGGCUGAGGCAGGAGAAUCACUUGAACCCGGGAGAUGGAGGUUGCAGUGAGCCGAGAUCACACCACUACACUCCAGUCUGGGCAACAGAGUGAGAUUCUGUCUCAA
rnacentral:sRNA from 1 species